UACGUAGGUGGCAAGCGUUGUCCGGAUUUACUGGGCGUAAAGAGCGCGCAGGCGGCUGGGCAAGUCCGAUGUGAAAGCUUCCGGCUUAACUGGAAAAUUGCAUCGGAAACUGCUCGGCUUGAAGGUGGGAGAGGGUAGCGGAAUUCCCGGUGUAGUGGUGAAAUGCGCAGAUAUCAGGAAGAACACCCGUGGCGAAAGCGGCUCUCUGGAACGGUACUGACGCUGAGACGCGAAAGCGUGGGGAGCGAACAGG
rnacentral:rRNA from 1 species